rnacentral:misc_RNA from 1 species
GGUACGUGAGUGGUGCGGUAAACCAGUGCGCUGGCGGGCCCCCUGCUUUUGUGCAGCCGACCGUGAGUGCAAUGGGACGCUUCGUUCAAAAUAUCCCCUGGUGUAGGGCUCCGCACGAUGCGGCGGAGGGCAUAUUCGGUGGGUUGUAUCGCAUAGCCAGAACGCGGCAACUGGGUGACCCUACGUUAUACAACAUCAUGUUGUUCUACUCGCUCCCCUCUUGCGGGCGAGAAGCGAGAAGCGGCCUCUUACGACGUCCCGUGCACCCUCGGCGGCGCUUGCAGUCGCUCGUUCACGUGCGGCCUGCGACGUCCGCCUGUACGGGCCUCGGGACGGUUGUGUGCUUACGGAUGCGGUGAAUCGGAUGGGGUCUGGUCGGGUGGCCCGUGCUGCUCCCGACCUGACGAAUGUAAUGGUGUUUGCGCACGUCGCGAGCGGGCAAACGAACGGGCGGAAUGGAGAAUAAACGAUCGCCGGCGGGCGUGCGCCGUCCCCUCGUCUCCUCGCUGGGAGUGACGGGGCGCGUCGUCCGCAGGUGUCGUGUCGAAGGGUUCGCUACCUGGUUGAUC